AAAUAGUACUAAGAACUCAGGCCUUUUGGAAACAACUGAGUCAUGUGGAUAUGACACUUGGUCUUCCUUUGGCAACAUGAGCUCAAAAAGAAGAUCAAAACAUAAAGAAUGUGUUUCACAGAACAAAAUGUAGAUGUAGACGAGGCUGAACAGUGAUGUCAGAGAAAACUGCACUUGAUUCUUCACCUUGCCAUCAAGAUGUGUUUCAAGACGAU
rnacentral:lncRNA from 1 species